UUUCCGUAGGUGAACCUGCGGAAGGAUCAUUAAUGAGUUGUCAUGGGGUUCGAUGCUGGCAGCCAGUUUUUGGAUGCAUGUGCUCGCCCUAACAAUCAUCUUCUUCCAAACACCUGUGCACAUUUUUGAGGGAGUCUUGAGUUGGUUGCCGCUCUUGGGUGGUUUUCUCACAUUCCCUUAAAUCAUUAUACGCUAUUAACAAUGUUGAACGUGCUCUGUGCUGCAAGGCCAUUAAUAUAAUACAACUUUUAACAACGGAUCUCUUGGCUCUC
rnacentral:misc_RNA from 1 species